rnacentral:tRNA from 1 species
GGUCGUGUGGCCGAGCGGUUAGGCAGAGGUCUGCAAAACCUCCUACAGCAGUUCAAAUCUGCUCGCGACCU